rnacentral:rRNA from 1 species
GACGAACGCUGGCGGCGUGCUUAACACAUGCAAGUCGAACGGAAAGGCCCUGCUUUUGUGGGGUGCUCGAGUGGCGAACGGGUGAGUAACACGUGAGUAACCUGCCCUUGACUUUGGGAUAACUUCAGGAAACUGGGGCUAAUACCGGAUAGGAGCUCCUGCUGCAUGGUGGGGGUUGGAAAGUUUCGGCGGUUGGGGAUGGACUCGCUGCUUAUCGGCUUGUUGGGGUGGUAGUGGCUUACCAAGGCUUUGACGGGUAGCCGGCCUGGGAGGGUGACCGGCCACAUUGGGACUGAGAUACGGCGCAGACGCCUACGGGAGGCAGCAGUGGAGAAUAUUGCACAAUGGGCGGAAGCCUGAUGCAGCAACGCCGCGUGCGGGAUGACGGCCUUCGGGUUGUAAACCGAUUUCGCCUGUGACGAAGCGUGAGUGACGGUAAUGGGUAAAGAAGCACCGGCUAACUACGUG